rnacentral:rRNA from 1 species
AGCGAACGCUGGCGGCAGGCCUACACAUGCAAGUCGAACGAAGUCUUCGGACUUAGUGGCGGACGGGUGAGUAACACGUGGGAACGUACCUUUUGGUUCGGAACAACUCAGGGAAACUUGAGCUAAUACCGGAUGAGCCCUUAGGGGGAAAGAUUUAUCGCCGAAAGAGCGGCCCGCGUUAGAUUAGCUAGUUGGUGAGGUAAAGGCUCACCAAGGCUACGAUCUAUAGCUGGUCUGAGAGGAUGAUCAGCCACACUGGGACUGAGACACGGCCCAGACUCCUACGGGAGGCAGCAGUGGGGAAUCUUGCGCAAUGGGCGAAAGCCUGACGCAGCCAUGCCGCGUGAAUGAUGAGGGUCUUAGGAUUGUAAAAUUCUUUUACCAGGGACGAUAAUGACGGUACCUGGAGAAAAAGCCCCGGCUAACUUCGUGCCAGCAGCCGCCGUAAGAC